UGAAGAGUUUGAUCAUGGCUCAGAUUGAACGCUGGCGGCAGGCCUAACACAUGCAAGUCGAACGGUAACAGGAAGCAGCUUGCUGCUUCGCUGACGAGUGGCGGACGGGUGAGUAAUGUCUGGGAAACUGCCUGAUGGAGGGGGAUAACUACUGGAAACGGUGGCUAAUACCGCAUAACGUCGCAAGACCAAAGAGGGGGACCUUCGGGCCUCUUGCCAUCAGAUGUGCCCAGAUGGGAUUAGCUAGUUGGUGAGGUAACGGCUCACCAAGGCGACGAUCCCUAGCUGGUCUGAGAGGAUGACCAGCCACACUGGAACUGAGACACGGUCCAGACUCCUACGGGAGGCAGCAGUGGGGAAUAUUGCACAAUGGGCGCAAGCCUGAUGCAGCCAUGCCGCGUGUAUGAAGAAGGCCUUC
rnacentral:rRNA from 1 species